rnacentral:rRNA from 1 species
AAUGAACGCUGGCGGCAGGCCUAACACAUGCAAGUCGAACGGAUCCUUCGGGAUUAGUGGCGGACGGGUGAGUAACGCGUGGGUACAUACCCUUUGGUACGGAAUAGCCUCGGGAAACUGGGAGUAAUACCGUAUGUGGUCGAGAGACGAAAGAUUUAUCGCCAAAGGAUUGGCCCGCGUUGGAUUAGGUAGUUGGUGGGGUAAUGGCCUACCAAGCCGACGAUCCAUAGCUGGUUUGAGAGGAUGAUCAGCCACACUGGGACUGAGACACGGUCCAGACUCCUACGGGAGGCAGCAGUGGGGAAUUUUAGACAAUGGGGGAAACCCUGAUCUAGCCAUGCCGCGUGAUCGAUGAAGGCCUUAGGGUUGUAAAGAUCUUUCAGGUGGGAAGAUAAUGACUGUACCACCAGAAGAAGCCCCGGCUAACUCCGUGCCAGCCGCCGCAGUAACAC